rnacentral:rRNA from 1 species
AACGAACGCUGGCGGCAGGCUUAACACAUGCAAGUCGAACGCCCCGCAAGGGGAGUGGCAGACGGGUGAGUAACGCGUGGGAAUCUACCUAGUUCUACGGAACAACUGAGGGAAACUUCAGCUAAUACCGUAUACGCCCUACGGGGGAAAGAUUUAUCGGAAUUAGAUGAGCCCGCGUAAGAUUAGCUAGUUGGUGGGGUAAUGGCCUACCAAGGCGACGCUCUUUAGCUGGUCUGAGAGGAUGAUCAGCUACACUGGGACUGAGACACGGCCCAAGCUCCUACGGGAGGCAGCGGUGGGGAAUAUUGGAAAAUGGGCUCGAGCCGGAUCCAGCCAUGCCGGGUGAGUGAUGAAGGCCUUAGGGUUGUAAAGCUCUAUCAGUGGGGAGGAUAAUGACGGUACCAACAUAAGAAGCCCCGGCUAACUGCGUGCCAGCCGCCGCCGUAACAC